rnacentral:tRNA from 1 species
AUUUGAAUAGUUUAAAUUAAAAUUUUGAUUUGUGGUGUCAAAGAUGCUUUUUUAGUUUCAAAUA